rnacentral:rRNA from 1 species
AAUGAACGCUGGCGGCAUGCCUAACACAUGCAAGUCGAACGAACACACGAGGAGCUUUCGCCCCUGAGGGUAGCGGCGGACGGGCGAGUAACACGUGGAUAGCCUACCUCUAUGACUGGGAUGAUAACGGGGGACAAGGUCUAAUAACGGAGAAUAUAUCGAACCGCAUGGUGCAAGAGUUAAAGACGCUUUUGGUGACGGUUAUAGACGGAUCCGGGCCGGAUUAGCUAGUUGGUAAGGUAACGGCUUACCAACGCGACGAUGCGUAGCCGACCUGAGAGGGUGAUCGGCCACACUGGAACUGAGACACGGUCCAGACUCCUACGGGAGGCAGCAGUCGGGAAUCUUCCGCAAUGGGCGAAAGCCUGAUGGAGCAACACCGCGUGAGUGAUGAAGGUCUUCGGAUGGUAAAGCUCUGUUGUUAGGAAAGAAGAAAAGCAUAUUUAACCCUGGCCGUAUUGACGGUACCUAAAGAAUAAGCACCGGCUAACUACGUG